AAAAAUGCUUUGAUAGGGACACGAAUGUGAGAUACCGUCUUUUCAGAGAGCUGCCGGUUGGUGCGAGGCAGCAGGGCGCUCACAGGACAUCACCCUUGAGCAGACGGCUGAAACCGCUGGGUAGUAAGCUGAGUCCGGAUUUCCUCCGUUAUUGGGAAGCAUAUUGUUAGAUAUGCAGCAAGAUGCUGCCUGUACUGGGCAAGCAAUACAGAGUGGUACCGCGGGAGCUGACGCCCUCGCCUCUGGG
rnacentral:ncRNA from 1 species